UGGGGAAUAUUGCACACUGGGGGGAACUCUUUUGCAGCGACUCCGCGUUAGUUAUGCAGGAACUUGUUACGUAAAACUCUGUUCUAUGGGAAGAAAAGGACCGUACCAUAGGAGAAAGCUCCGGCUAAAUACGUGCCAGCAGCCGCGGUAAUACGUAUGGAGCGAGCGUUGUCCGGAAUUAUUGGGCGUAAAUGGUGCGCAGGCGGCUUGACAAGUUGGAUGUGAAAUAUUGUGGCUCAACCACAAACGUGCAUCCAAAACUGCAAAGCUUGAGUUAAGGAGAGGUAAGUGGAAUUCCUGGUGUAGCGGUGGAAUGCGUAGAUAUCAGGAGGAAUACCGGUGGCGAAGGCGACUUACUGGACUUAAACUGACGCUCAGGCACGAAAGCGUGGGGAGCAAACAGG
rnacentral:rRNA from 1 species